rnacentral:rRNA from 1 species
ACGAACGCUGGCGGCGUGCUUAACACAUGCAAGUCGAACGGAAAGGCCCUGCUUGCCGGGUACUCGAGUGGCGAACGGGUGAGUAACACGUGGGUGAUCUGCCCUGCACUUCGGGAUAAGCCUGGGAAACUGGGUCUAAUACCGGAUAGGAGCCAUUUUUAGUGUGAUGGUUGGAAAGUUUUUUCGGUGUAGGAUGAGCUCGCGGCCUAUCAGCUUGUUGGUGGGGUAAUGGCCUACCAAGGCGGCGACGGGUAGCCGGCCUGAGAGGGUGGACGGCCACAUUGGGACUGAGAUACGGCCCAGACUCCUACGGGAGGCAGCAGUGGGGAAUAUUGCACAAUGGGCGCAAGCCUGAUGCAGCGACGCCGCGUGGGGGAUGACGGUCUUCGGGUUGUAAACUCCUUUCGCUAGGGACGAAGCUUUUUGUGACGGUACCUAGAUAAGAAGCACCGGCUAACUACGUG